GGAGGGCUGGCAGAGUCUGGCUGAACGCACCCGUUUCGAACGCGGGCAGGGGUGAAAGUCCCUCGGGGGUUCAAAUCCCUCGCCCUCCG
rnacentral:tRNA from 1 species